rnacentral:rRNA from 1 species
UACAGAGGGGGCAAGCGUUGUUCGGAAUUACUGGGCGUAAAGGGCGCGUAGGCGGCCUGCUAAGUCGAACGUGAAAUCCCUGGGCUCAACCCAGGAACUGCGUCCGAUACUGGUUGGCUUGAAUCCGGGAGAGGGAUGCGGAAUUCCAGGUGUAGCGGUGAAAUGCGUAGAUAUCGGGAGGAACACCAGCGGCGAAGGCGGGUAUCUGGGCCAACACUGACGCUGAGGCGCGAAAGCUAGGGGAGCAAACAGG